GUUGGUAGGUAAAAUCUAUGACGAACACUGUACUCUCUUAUUACUUUCAAAUGUAUUUUAAAAAGUGGAAAAAUAAAAUGUAAUGGAGUGUCAUCAUGAAGAGGAAGGGUGGCAGCGACACUCAUCAAGUUUUUUGGGCAGAGUCAGAAACGUACCGAAACAUUUUCUUUACUGAUAUUUCUUUCAUGUUCAGAAAGAGAUUGAGAGAGAGACCAUGAGGAUGCCAACAGGACAGGGAGAGCAGGUGAAAUGGAGAUCCAGUCAGGGUGGAAAACAUCAGGGCCGGCUGUAGAAAAAUAAAUGUUCAGCUGUGGUUGACAACCACAACCCUCUCUGUCCGUUGCUCUCUGCCUCCAUCCUCCAUUUUACCAUCGACCUAUUUAUGUUUAGAGGGUGCAGCCUGGUAACUGCAGUCACCUUCAACCUCCAUUAACAACACCAGUAUAUUUCACUAUAGAGGUGUGAAGUUUCCACAGCAGAGUUAGUGUUACUUUAUCAUAACAACAUCAAUAUCAGAGUUUCAGCUUUGAUAGUUUCCAUAACAGAGUUAGUGUUACUUUAUCAUGACAACAUCCAGACAUCAAUGUCUGGAACCAGAUGAUAGUGUGGUAGUAUCUGCUGUACUCAUCAAUGUGUAACUUUACUAACUGGAGGAAAGUUGUAGCAGUUAUGAAUGUUUUUGUUUCUAUAUGAUAAAGUGCCCUUCAGAUUUAUUGGCACCCUAGAUAAAUAAUAAAUAACCCUUUAAAUUAUUGAAAAUGUUAUUUUAACCCAACAUCUUCAAGUUGCGGUUGUUUUGCUGAAGAAACACCACUGUUGGUUGGAACCUCAUCAAAUAAAGCUUUUAAGACCUAGUGGUUGUAUCUUAACUUUGCCCUGUAGAUAGAAGUGCUACAUGUUUAGUGAUGGUGUUCUAACUUGCACUGUGAAACAUUAUUACAUUGACCAUCUACAGACAUGGAACACAAUGAGACAUGGAACACAAUGAUACAAGCUAUCCUUUUGUUAUGUAUAUUGACUUUAUUUACCUUUAUUUAACAUAAAUAGAAAAUCCAUGGGAGAACACUACUUGGGAUCGGUCUUCAUAAUUAUUGUUUUGUUACAGUUAAGGCUAGAUUUAUAACAAUGGUUGGUGGAUAGUCAACAUGUUGGCUUUUAUUGUGACGAUUAUUGAACAUUUAUUGAACGUUGGCUUUUAUUGUGACAAUUAUUGAACAUUUACAAACCUUCUACUUUGGACUAUGCCGAUAUAGUAUUGCCUCAUAUUUUUAAACAACUUAAAGAAAACAAACACCUUGAAGACUAACAAUUAUUAUGGAUAUGACCACUUUCUACUGUUACAAACGACACUGAUGAGUCCAGCUGAAACUCUGAUACGGUCUGUUUCCAGUCAUUGAUGUUCUUGUGAUUACUACCCAAUAAUUCUGUUUCGAAAACUUCACACCUCUGUUGUCGAAAAGUGAUAUUGAACCAUACAUAAUUAGUUCUUGCCUCUUGCAAAACAAACAGUGUGACUUUUCUACUUAUUUUGGGUAGCUAUUGAGAUCUGUGGCUGGUGAUCUACUGUAAAUAUAGCCUAGUAUAUUUACAUAUAGCUGCUUACUUUUGUUAUAAUGGCAAAUUAAUUAUUGAAAACCAUUCCUGUGGAAUUAACUGUUGAGAUCUGUGGCCAGUAUUCUACUGAAAAAAAUAACCAACAAAUAUAUUUUGAUUUCAUUUGAGCUAUACUGUCUGAACAUUUAGUACCACAAAAUUACAUCCUUCACAGAACAACCAGAUUUUGUGAAAUGUUAAAAGCAUGAAUUGUUAGCUAUUUCUACUGGUAAAUGUGUUUUAAUGUCUGUGGUUUUGGCAACUAUAGCCUACUCUUUGUAAAUAUGGCUUGUUAAAAUGCCAACAUUUCCUGAGUCUUGCUUAUUAAAAACCAUGCCUGAGAGACUUAA